rnacentral:tRNA from 1 species
GGGACCGUGACGAAUGCUUUGGAAACUACAGUUCACACUUCCGUGUCGCGGGUUCGAAUCCCGCCGGGUCCGCCA